GGGUUGUGAGGUUAAGCGACUAAGCGUACACGGUGGAUGCCCUGGCAGUCAGAGGCGAUGAAGGGCGUGCUAAUCUGCGAUAAGCGCCGGUAAGGUGAUAUGAACCGUUAUAACCGGCGAUACCCGAAUGGGGAAACCCAGUGUGACUCGUCACACUAUCAUUAACUGAAUCCAUAGGUUAAUGAGGCGAACCGGGGGAACUGAAACAUCUAAGUACCCCGAGGAAAAGAAAUCAACCGAGAUUCCCCCAGUAGCGGCGAGCGAACGGGGAGGAGCCCAGAGCCUGAAUCAGCAUGUGUGUUAGUGGAAGCGUCUGGAAAGGCGCGCGAUACAGGGUGACAGCCCCGUACACAAAAGCGCAUGUGCUGUGAGCUCGAUGAGUAGGGCGGGACACGUGGUAUCCUGUCUGAAUAUGGGGGGACCAUCCUCCAAGGCUAAAUACUCCUGACUGACCGAUAGUGAACCAGUACCGUGAGGGAAAGGCGAAAAGAACCCCGGCGAGGGGAGUGAAAAAGAACCUGAAACCGUGUACGUACAAGCAGUGGGAGCACAGGUUUACCUGUGUGACUGCGUACCUUUUGUAUAAUGGGUCAGCGACUUAUAUUCUGUAGCAAGGUUAACCGAAUAGGGGAGCCGGAGGGAAACCGAGUCUUAAUUGGGCGUUAAGUUGCAGGGUAUAGACCCGAAACCCGGUGAUCUAGCCAUGGGCAGGUUGAAGGUUGGGUAACACUAACUGGAGGACCGAACCGACUAAUGUUGAAAAAUUAGCGGAUGACCUGUGGCUGGGGGUGAAAGGCCAAUCAAACCGGGAGAUAGCUGGUUCUCCCCGAAAGCUAUUUAGGUAGCGCCUCGUGAAUUCAUCUCCGGGGGUAGAGCACUGUUUCGGCUAGGGGGCCAUCCCGGCUUACCAACCCGAUGCAAACUGCGAAUACCGGAGAAUGUUAUCACGGGAGACACACGGCGGGUGCUAACGUCCGUCGUGAAGAGGGAAACAACCCAGACCGCCAGCUAAGGUCCCAAAGUCAUGGUUAAGUGGGAAACGAUGUGGGAAGGCCCAGACAGCCAGGAUGUUGGCUUAGAAGCAGCCAUCAUUUAAAGAAAGCGUAAUAGCUCACUGGUCGAGUCGGCCUGCGCGGAAGAUGUAACGGGGCUAAACCAUGCACCGAA
rnacentral:rRNA from 1 species